UGGGAGGCUCCGGCCCCCAGGGGGCGCACUCGGGCCAGGAAAAGGCUCCCUGCGCCCGCGCCAGGUCCUGCUGUCCCUUCAGCCACGUAGCCGGCCCUGGGAGGCGGGUGUGCGAGUCCGCUGGCGCUUAUCCACCACGCCCUGCGUCUCCGCUGCUCCAGAUAUUCCAGUUCAUUCGGCGUCUGUCCAUCGGAGCCCUGCGGACCCCUCGGUGGGGAGGAGAGGACGCUGUACCCGAGGGCUGUGGGGCUCCGGGGAAACUGGAGGCAGGAGCAGAAAUUCUGGCCAGGGGCGGGGUUCACGGCCAGGGGGGCUGCCUGGGGAGGCCUGGGAGGACGAGGAGCUUAAUGCAUGGAGGAAGUGUUUCAGGCAGAGGGCACAGCUGGAACAAGCGCCCGGAGGUGGGAGAGCUGGGGAUGCUGGGAGCGCCGAAAACCCAGGGUGGGAGAGGCCGGCCGGGGCUCUGGUGAGGGGUCGGGGGUCCGCCUGCCGAGACCUGCGUCCCCACCCCCGUGGCUGUGGUCGAGGGCGCCCGCAGACUCCCCGGGGGGCGGCGGGUGUCCCCUGGAGCCUCCGGGCCCUCCGUCUGGGUCCCCCGCGCAGCCUCAAGGCGGCAGCACCGAGCCUCCAGCGCUCACGAUAAUCCUCUGUGUCUCCAGCUCCUUCCCUCGCCUUCGUUUCUCCGGUUUAUUCCCCGCUGCACUCAGCAUUUCUAGCCCUGUCCCUCCAGUUCUCCUGCGCCCCAGGGGCUCCAGAGGUUGUUGGAUGAAGCGCCUGAAUGGAGGCCGAGUUGGCGUCCGCGGGGCGGGCCGUGUGGAGGGCUCAACGCUAGGCGUCUCCACCUGGCGGGUUCAAUGAGGUCGCGCAGGUCUGGGCUGAGGACAGAGCCUAGCAAAAGAACAUGCUUAAUCCACGGUAAUUUCUGCUUCGUGAGGAAGUUCCGGCUACAUACCACCUUAAACCCAAAGGAAGCAAUAAUGGUGCAAUUCAGGCAGAGCGCCAGGGCCCUCUGAUCCAGCCAGCUGAGGGUGAGUUUUACAAUGAAUUCCAUUCAUCUAUUCAUCAGAUGAUGAUGAUGAUGAUAAUGAAAGGAGAGUGCUUGCUAUAUGCCUGACACCGUGCAAUACACCUUAAAUCAUCCAUUCCUUCCGACCACUCUGGGAGUUUGCAAUUGCAUAGGCUCGGCAGGAUCAUCUCUCAGCUCCACAUGGCAUCAGCUGGGAUAGCUGACUACCCGGAAGAUCCACUUCCCAGAUGGCUCACUCACAAGGCUGGGAUCUCAGUGGAGACUGUGGCUCCCCUUCAGAACAGAAGUGAUGGGAGUGCUCUCUGGGUCAGGUCUGCUGGCUGACUAUGGGUGCAAUGGCCGGAGCUGGAGCGACUGCUUUGGACCAUGAGAUGAAAGCUGAGUGUGGAGGGACAGACAGGGCAGCAGAAGCCUGAGGUGUUUGAAUGACUUUGGGGAGCAGCUAAAUCCUUGAGCCCUGACCGCCCCCCCCCCCCACACCUCUGGCCUCUUACCUAAGAGAGAACUAAAAUUCUACCUUCUUUAAGUCAUUGUUAAUUUCAGUGUUUGUUUCCGCAUCUCAGAUUGUACAGUAAUUUAUAGACAAUCCAAAUGGAAGGGCAAGUGCUUAUCCAGGGAUGUAACAGCUGGGCCGGUAGGUCUACAGUUCCUCCCAGUCCUGAAAUUCUGUGGCUUUGUGAUGGGAAAGGGUUGGGCUGGGCUGAGGGCUUCCAGCAGUUUCUUGGCUCUGCGUUGGAUGCUCAUCUCUUUUUCUUCUUCGUGUGAAUAUUCUCCCUCAAUCUCAGUUCUGAAUUUCUGUAAUCAAACUGGGGGUGGGACUGCAUUUAAAACCCAAAUGGAAAGUAAGAAGCUGAUUGCAGAUGAAUCUUCCUUUCAGUCUUUCUGGGAAGUUGUGACAGUUUAUCAUCAUUUUGCAAUGGCCAGAAAUCCAUUUUGUGAAAUGUUGCUUUUUGUUUGUUUUUUUCUCUACCAAAACAUCGCAGAGUCAUCGGGGGUUUUAUGAACUCUGAUUUAAAAAAAAAAAACAAACUUUUUUAUCCAGCGUGGUUAGGAUGUGGAGUUUCCUGUUGAAGAAAUAUUCAGGUAUGUUUGGCUUGUCUGAGGUUUUGGGCAUGUAGAGACUUUCCUGGGACAGGGAACAGAAUGCGGAGGCCCAGGGCUUACCGGAGAUGACAUCAGAAGUGAGAGGGGAGGUGGGGUUACCAGGGCAUGGAGCCUGGAGCCCUAGCCAUGGCGAGGCUCAGGCAGUGGCAGAAAUGGAGGAGAGGGUGACAGGGCAGCAUCGGCUGAGGACAGAGGUCUGAGGGCAGGGAAGCCAGGUAGCUGUUUCCAGGGGCACAGUCCCCAUGCUGGCCUCUUUCUGAUGGGGUGCUUGUAUCCGGACGGGCACACCUGGCAUGGCUUGUCAGGAGUCAGACUGGCCAAACAUGGAGGAAGUGGAAAUUGGUUAAAGACCAAUGUAAAAAUGGCAUUGACUACAAAUGAAUUAUCCUGACUUAGAAGGUGCUUCCAGAUCUUGCAAAGUGGGGUCAAUAUACACCCUUCCUCAAAGGGUGAGUGUGAGGAUUAGAUGAGUUAACAUGUAUAAAGUGCUUAUGAGAGUGCCUGGCUGAGAAUAAGGGCUGGAAAAUGAAUCAUCACCAUCGUCAUCAUCAUCACCCCUCCUCCAUUUAAUAGAAAAUUAUUCACUGGAGUCAGCUGUGUUCUUUCAAACCAAGAAAGGUUUUGUUAUAAGAGAGUUCCAUGCUGCUAUUAAAACAGUGGAUUGCUAAAGGCAAAUAAGGAGGUGCUUCGAUUUCCCUGAAAUUUGAGGAAAUUUAGGUUCAGGACUUCUAUCCUUUUUUUUUUGUGGUAUGCGGGCCUCUCACUGUUGUGGCCUCUCCCGUUGAAGAGCACAGGCUCCGGACGCGCAGGCUCAGCGGCCAUGGCUCACGGGCCCAGCCGUUCCGCGGCAUGUAGGAUAUUCCCGGACCGGGGCACGAACCUGUGUCCCCUGCAUUGGCAGGCGGACUCUCAACCGCUGCGCCACCAGGGAAGCCCGGGAUUUCUAUCUUUUAAGCACAAACUUGACACACAUCUUUUGCAUGGCUUUCAAGUUCAGCCACUGACUUCGCCAUAGUGCUUCCUGACCUUGCCUCACAUUUCCCAUCUCCUUUUUAUUAUGAUUUACAAAAAUUAAUUGUGGGGACUACCCUGGCUGUCCAGUGGUUAAGAAUCUGUGCUUCCAUUGCAGGGGGCGCGGGUUCCAUCCCUGGUCGGGGAACUAAGAUCUUGCAUGCCGCGUGGCGUGGCCCAAAAAAAAGACAAAGCAAAAACAAAAAAUUGGUUGUGGUAAAAUAUACAUAACAUAAAAUGUAUCCUUUCAACCAUUUUUUAAAAAAUUAUUUAUUUAUUUAUCUUUGGCUGCAUUGGGUCUUUGUUGCUGCAUGCGGGCUUUCUCUAGUUGCAGUGAGCGGGGGCUACUCUUCUUGCGGUGCGCAGGCUUCUCAUUGCGGUGGCUUCUCUUAUUGCGGAGCAUGGGCUCUAGGUGCGCAGGCUUCAGUAGUUGCGGCGUGUGGGCUCAGUAGUUGUGGCGCACUGGCUUAGUUGCUCCGUGGCAUGUGGGAUCUUCCCGGACCCGAGCUCGAACCCGUGUCCCCUGCAUUGGCAGGCAGAUUCUCAACCGCUGCGCCACCAGGGAAGCCCUCUUUUUUCUUUUUAAUUAAUUUAUUUCGUUUUUUAUAGAACUUUAAUUGCGGCAUGCGGGAUGUUUAGUUGCAGCAUGUGGGAUGUUUAGUUGCAGCAUGUGGGAUCUAGUUCCCUGACCAGGGAUCGAAGCCGGGCCCCCUGCAUUGGGAGCGCGGAGCCUUAGCCACUGGACCACCAGGGAAGUCCUCGUUAUUUUCACUUUGAGUAUUAUCUUGCAGGAUCUUGGUGGUAAAAUGAUCUCUCUCUGUCUUCACUAUUCAAUCCUUGUCGUUUCCUCCCAGACUCCAGUAAAAUGAACUCUUCCUGAAAAUUUCAGCUGGGAGUGGGGUGGGCGUCACAUCUCGUGGCUUUAGACCAAGCUGGGGUCAAAGCUGCUGCUCCCCCUGCCCUUCCUCUGCCACAGGCCCUUCUCAGCAGCAUUGGAGAGCACAGCUGGGCACACUUCAGCCACAACCCAGCAAGGGAUCCUCCAGGGCAGAGUGAGCCUUUAUUAAGCUAUUGUCUCUAAGGUACUUCACCACCCAGAAACAGCUGGUCCAAGAAUAUGGGGCGUGACCUACUGAAGACUCAAGGUAUGUCCCUAGUUGGGAGGCAACACCUGAAAAAUGGGGUCCUCACUUAGAGGAUAAAGCGUAUGUGCUGAAUCAGAGGCCAGCAUAUCUCGCAACAGAACACACAGUGAGGAAUCAUGACUACACCCAGUAAUCACUCAUGGAAUUUUUGUUUCCUGUUCCUGAAACUUGCAAGGGGAAAUGCUUCCAACAGUGGACAGAACAAUGGUUCCACUGAAUUGGAAGCUGGGACUGCCAGGGGACCGUGUUAGGCCCCUUAUCCAUGGGACCAAAAUAAAUAACUAAAGUAAAUAUAUAUAUAAAAUCUAAAUUAUAUAUUUAAAAUAAUAUUAUUAUUAUCACCAUAACAUUUGCCCAGUGAUUUUUUUUUAGUAUAUUCACAGAAUUAGGCAACCGUCAUCACUAAUUUUAGAACAUUUCCAUCAUUCCAAAAAGAGCUGCCAUUCCUAUCAGCGGUCACUCCCAUUCCCUCCUCCCUGAGCCCCUGGCAGCCACUCAUCUAUUUUCUGUCUCUUUGGAUUUGCCUGUUCUGGACACUCCAUAUAAAUGGAAUCAUACGAUAUGUGGCUUUUUCUGUCUGGCUUUUUUCACUCAGCAUGUUUUCAAGGUUCACCCAUGUUGUAGCACGUGUCAGUACCCCACUCCCUUUUAUUGCUGCAUAAUAUUCCAUUGUAUGGAUCUAUCCAUGCAUCAGCUGAUGGAUAUGUGGGUUGUUAAUGCCUUUGGCUAUAAUAGUACUGCUAUGAACAUUCACAUACAUAUUUUUACGUGGAUAUGUGUUUUCAGUUCUCUUGGGUGUAUAACUGGGAAGGGAAUUUCUGGGUCAUGCGGUAACUCUAUGCUUAGCUGUUUGAGGAAUUGACAGACUGUUUUCCAAAGCCGCUGCACCGUUUUUACGUUCCCCCAGCAAUGUAUGACAUCUCUCUGACACUUGUCAUUGUCCGUCUUUCUGAUUAUAGCCAUCUUAGUGGGUGUGAAGUGGUAUCUCACUGUGGCUUUGGUUCCAUUACCCUAGUGAUUAAUGACGUUGAACAUCUUUUUUUUUUUUUUUUUUUGGCGGUACGCGGGCCUCUCACUGCUGUGGCCUCUCCCGUUGCGGAGCACAGGCUCCGGACGCGCAGGCUCAGCGGCCAUGGCUCACGGGCCCAGCCGCUGCGCGGCAUUUGGGAUCUUCCCGGACCGGGGCACGAACCCGCAUCCCCUGCAUCUGCAGGCGGACUCUCAACCACUGCGCCACCAGGAAAGCCCUGUUGAACAUCUUUUAAUGUGCUUUUUGGUCAUUGUAUAUCUUUCCUGGAGAAAUGCCUUUCAAAUCCACUGUCCAUUUUUAAAUUUUUCUGUUGUAAGAAUUCUUUAUAUAUUCCAGGUAUUAAGUCCCUUAUCAGAUAUACGAUUGAUAAAUCAUUGAUUCCAUUCUGUGGGUUCUCUUUUCACUGUCUUGAUGGUGUCCUUUGAAACAUUAAAAAAAAAACACUUACGUUUUUUUAUUUUUUUUGGCUGCGCUGUGCGGCCUGCGGGAUUUUAGUUCCCUGACCAGAGGUUGAACCCUGGCCCUUGGCAGUGAAAGUGCAGAGCCCGAACCACUGGACUGCCAGGGAAUUCCCCCCAAAUUUUAAUUUUAAUGAAGUCCAAUUUAACUAUUUUUUUCUUUAGUUAUUUGUGCUUUUGGUGUCAUGUUUAAGAAACCAUUGCCUAAUCCAAAAUUGUAACGAAUAAAUCCUAUGUUUUCUUCUAAGAGUUUUACGGUUUCAGCUCUUACAUUGAGAUCUUUGAUACAUUUUGAAUUGGGUUUCAUAUAUGGUGUGAGAAGGGGGGUCCAACUUCAUUCUUUUGCAUGUGGAUAUCCAGUUUUCUAGCACCGUAUGUUGAAAAAACUAUUUUUUCCCCAUUGAAUCGUCUUAGAAAAAAAUCAAUUGACCAUAAGUGUAAGGGUUUGUUUCUGGGCUCUUCAGGCAGCAUUGGCACUUAGUCCCAGUUUUAGAUUUUUUUCCACACUCUGCAUUCCACCCUCUCAGAGACUCUGGCACCAGCUGACUGUCACCUCAUCCUCAGAGGCCUGAGGCUGGCUCAGUGGGAUCCUUUCUCCAAGCUCCUGAGGCAGCAACACCAGGGGAGCAGCAUUUGCCUGGGCUGAAGAA